rnacentral:rRNA from 1 species
CCUACGGGAGGCAGCAGUGAGGAAUAUUGGUCAAUGGACGAGAGUCUGAACCAGCCAAGUAGCGUGAAGGAUGACUGCCCUAUGGGUUGUAAACUUCUUUUAUAUGGGAAUAAAAUGUUCCACGUGUGGGAUUUUGUAUGUACCAUAUGAAUAAGGAUCGGCUAACUCCGUGCCAGCAGCCGCGGUAAUACGGAGGAUCCGAGCGUUAUCCGGAUUUAUUGGGUUUAAAGGGAGCGUAGGUGGAUUGUUAAGUCAGUUGUGAAAGUUUGCGGCUCAACCGUAAAAUUGCAGUUGAAACUGGCAGUCUUGAGUACAGUAGAGGUGGGCGGAAUGCGUGGUGUAGCGGUGAAAUGCGUAGAUAUCACGAAGAACUCCGAUUGCGAAGGCAGUUCACUGGACUGCAACUGACACUGAGGCUCGAAAGUGUGGGUAUCAAACAGGAUUAGAUACCCCUGUAGUC